rnacentral:lncRNA from 1 species
UUUCUAAAAAGGUUUUAAAACCCUAUAACUCUUUUCUUCUCUCUUUAUUUUGGCACUCAUCUAGCCACCACUCCUACUCCCUCUCCUAUCUAGAUCUUGACUACCAUCUCCACCUGUGAAGCUGAUCACCGGCCGAUGGACGUCCAUUCCUACUCACCACCUCUCCUUUUCUCACCCUCUUCCCUUCGCACUGUUGUUGCUGCUUUUUACCAGUCACUGCUGGAUUUUAUCCUCGUCCGAUGACUGCUACACCACCAUCGACAACCUUUUUGCCUCCAAUCUCUUCUUAUCUUCCUCUCAUUUUCUUCUAACCUUUUCUUUGUUUUGCAGGUAAACAAUUCUAUUGAGAAUGGCUAGAGUUAGCCAAAUUGAUGUAACGACCCGACCAAUUGUUUUGAGUAUUUUAGCUCCAUUCCCUUAUUUACUCCUCUAUAUUAUAUUGUGGUUAUAUGACUUGCCAGGGUAUUUGAUUUUUGUUCGGGUGAGUUUUAAACACUUAGUCCCAAAGUUGGAAGUUUAAGUUGCAAGACUUGAUCGUAGUUUGACUUUGUGUAGACGACUCCAGAAUAGAGUUUUGACUGUUUGUAACGACCCGACUGGUCGUUUUGUUCAAUUUCGUCCGGUUUGGCAGUUUGAGAUCACAAGCAGCUUCACAUUAUGUAUAUCGACUUGUGUGCAUGGUGUGAGAACGUGAUUUUUGUCCUAUAUGAAUUACUCCCAUAAAUUCAAAACAAAAUAAUUUCUUUCAGUAUUUAUAAUUUUGUGAAUUUUUGUGGCAUUUUAUGUUAAUUGAUUGCAUUUUGUCUGUGCAUUUUAAUUCAUAAAAAAUACAAAAUAUGCAUUACAUUUAGGAUUUAAUUUUACAUAUUUUAGAAUUAUUUAGUAAUUAGGAAUUUACAAAAAAUACAAAAAUCACAAAAAAAUUGAGUUAUUUUUGCUUUGUUUAAUUUUUAGCUUCGAAUUUUGUGAAUUUUCUUUAAAUUGGUAUUCUAUUAAUAGCAUUGAUUGUUAAUUGGAGUUUAACAUGAUUUGGUAGGAUAAUUUUGGUUUUUAGAAUUAAUUUAGGGUUUUUAGUUUAAAUUUGAGAAAAAAAAGAGAGAAAAAGAAGGAAUUGAAAUGAAUUGAAAAAGAAAAAAAGAGAAGAGGAAAUCGGGUUUGCUUUAAUUAAAAUGACCCAAAAUUGUGCCAGUUCUCGUCCUAAAAGUCCUAGUCCAAACAAUUCCGGACCUAGCCCAAGUCCUUUCUCUUCAGACGACUAAAUGACGUCGUUUCCCUCCCCAUUUGGUCUAAGCCCUUGAUUCAUUUCAAUCCAACGGCCCAAAACCUCUCCCCUCUUUACAUAUUAGUGUCUGAAACACAGCGACCAAUUCAGUUCCAAACACGCCCUCAUCUCUCUCAUCCCUUUCAUCUCUCUCAUCUCUCUCGUUCUUCAAACCCUAGCAGUCCAAGUUCCACCAUUGUAACAGAGCAAAGGAACUCCGUUUUUUCCUUCCAAAAAAUUUGGCUCCACAACCUUCCUUCAUCCCUGACUUUUAAUCUCUUACCAUAACCCCCAAAUUGUCACUAAGCGGAGCCAAGUCUGGACUUGAAAAGGGAAGAAGACGAAAAGAUUUAUCCAGUUUGGGGCUAAAGAUUAAAGUCGAAACUGAUCUCGUUCGUCCGUUCUUGACAAGAACGCUUGAUUGAGACCAAUUUCAGCUCAAAGUCGAUGAGUCAGAGUUCCUUCAAGUUUGGUCCAUGUUCAGCUGUUGAAUAGGUACCCUCGUUUUCUCCUUUUCCCCGUUCUUUUGAUUCUUCACUCCGUCGUCACAUCCCUCCAUGCAUUUUUUUUUCUGUUCUUGGUCAGUACUUGUUUGUUGAAACAAUUUCUGCUGGUGAUUAAAGCAAGAGCAUGCUAGCUACGUUUAUUUAAUUCUCGUGCUCAGUGUUAGUAGUUCUUGUUUUCUUUCAAUUAUUUCUGCUUUCAAUUCAAAACUGCUUGGUUCAUAUUUUCUACCUAUUUGAGCUUUGGGUUGGGUCAAUUAGGAGUUACUGAAUGGGUUUGGGUUUUUGGUAAAUUGAAAGCCCAAAGUGAAAGAAGAUCAGUCCGGCUUGGGGCUAAACUCUGGGUCAACUUGGCCCGCAUGGUUUCAUACAGUAAUUACAGGGUACUAGGAGGGUAGUUUAGGUAUUUGGGGUUAGGGAAUCUUGCUAUAACUGAAAUAGAAGCUUCUAGGGUGGGGUUUUAAUUUGAAUUUCAGGAUCUUGGUAGUAUGAACCUUGGGAACAAGUCAAGAUUCUAGGGACUUUUAAGCAAAAUGCAUAAAUUAAAAGGGACCUAAGAGGGUAAAUUAAAAUCUGAGAGGUGCCCUACUUACUUGCCUAUAAAGGCAUUCUUACUUGCCUUAGAAGGCAGGGAUGAAGAACUGAAAAAUAGAGAAACAUAGAGAGGGCUACAAUGUCUGGGUAGAUUCUGUGCUCUAGCUACUGUUUCAUUGAUUUUGAGUCGAUUUCACUGAAAGUUGGCUGAAUCUGGGUUGUUCAGCGUUGUUGCUGAGCUUACUAAUCCUUAUUUCCUUUUUGUUACUUCUUUUUCCAGGUAUUCCUGAUUCUCUAAGAGUUGAAAUGCAAAAAUGAAAGUUGUAAUUGCCAGAAGUUUUUCAUGAAUGAAUGACUGUUUCUCUUUAAAUCUUUAAUGUCAAUUAUCUAUUUAAGAUUUCCUGGAAACAUAUAGAGUAGAGUAAUGAUAUUCAGCCUAGUUUGUUCAUCUUAGUAUAGUAGUAGUAUUUUGGGGAUUCAUACUGCCCUUUUGUUUAGUCAGAGAUUUAUGGAUUGUUCGUUGGUUUGAACAUGUGAGAGACUGUGUAUAUGGACUGUUUGUUUAAGACAUUUUGGUUAUGC